rnacentral:rRNA from 1 species
AUGCCCUCGCCGCGAACAAGCGCCAAGACUUGUGUCGGUCGAUGCCAAACAGUCAACCACACGCGCAGGCGACCAGACAGCUCUGACUCGAGCAUUGCAGGGGAAAAUCAUUGGGCUUGCGUCGAUCCAGCGCCAGAGCCGACCACCCGUCUCGUCUUGUUUGGUUUCCCUGUGUCCAGGUUGGCGCAAAACCAACUCUGUCAUUGCAAGUUUCUUUGUGAGACUAGAAUGUCAACGCGAGUUAAUCUAAUGUUAAUUGGGGAUCUUUUUAAUUGGGAUCAUGUCAGUUGGUCAUUAGACCACUUCUCGUGCCGUCCCAACUAG